CCCUUCACUCUGGGAUAACUCCGGGAAACCGGGGCUAAUACUGGAUAUGACUCGAACAGGCAUCUGUUUCGGGUGGAAAGAUUUAUUGGUGGAGGAUGGACUCGCGGCCUAUCAGCUUGUUGGUGAGGUAAUGGCUCACCAAGGCGACGACGGGUAGCCGGCCUGAGAGGGCGAUCGGCCACACUGGUACUGAGACACGGCCCAGACUCCGUACGGGAGGCA
rnacentral:rRNA from 1 species